CUUGAUUUGAAAGAUAAGCAUUGUUAAGGAAAAGGUAUGUUUUUAUAUGUAAUGACUCAAAUUCAAGACUGUUACUAAUACUAAGGAAUGGGUAAGCUUGUAACGACUUAAAUUCAAGAUUGCUACAAGCGGUAGGGAAUAGGUAAGCUUAAGGACACCAAAACUUGUAGUAAGCCUAAACAUGUUUUCUUGGGGCCCAUUUGAGUCAUAAAAUAUUUUAAAUAAUAUAAAUCAUAAAAUGAUUUAAUAUUUCAAAAUGUGGAAUAGCAAGCACAACAAAAUUACACAUCACAAAAAAGCAGUUCCACAAAAUACAAAAUAUACCAUAAGCAAAAUGAGGCAACAAACCACUUAAACUUAGUGUCAAAAUUUGUUAACUACGUCUUCAACUCUUGUCCUUGAAGGAGAGAUAAAAAACGAGGAUUAAGAUGACCAAUCCCAAUAAGUAGGGAAACUGCAUAAGAGAAUUUAUAAAUAAAGCAGUAAUAAAAUUUACAAGCACAUGAAACCAGCAUUCACAUGACUUCCAUAAAACAAACAAUACAUACAGGGUUAUUCACGUCACUAGUGGCUCCCCUUACCCUGUAUCUUAUAAUGUUUUAAUUUAUCUUAUCUUUCUCUUGAGUUUACAUAACUUGGUAGAUGCCAGAGACCUAAAAUUUGUCUUACCUGAUGAAGUUGGUAUGGACUUUGGAUAUCCGGAUGUCAGAGAUGCAUAAAAUUACCUUACACGACAUCCUUUUACUUUCAUUUCAAUGAGCUCAUCUCGCAUGCAUGCCUUUCUAUUCCUCUCUUUACCUUUCCUUCAUUUAUUCAUUGUUUUCUUUAUUUAUUGUUUCUCUUCCCUUUUCUAAUGGAGCCAGUAAGUCUUCCAUGAACUACUACAUAUGUAAAUGUUAGAUGCAGCACCUCCGUGACAUUUUAGAAACACAUACAUAUAUAUAGAUUGUCCUAGGAAUGCAAGAAUAUGUCUAAUAAAUAAGUCAUAAUGCAUGAAUGCACAUGAAUGCAUUGAAGAACAUUUACAUAUAAGAAACAUUAAUUUAAAGAAACAUUUAUUCAUUUAAAAGCAAAUUCAUUUAUAAAAAUGUUUAAGGUAGUUUCCAGUCAUAGACUAACCCAUUAACUACUAGCUUUGCUGGAACUGCCAACACAGUGAGUUCAACUAACCUAUAUAGACAUACUGACACUUUAUUAGACACUAACCAAUUAUACUCAUGUAAUUACAGAAUUAUUAUUCUAAGGCUCUAAUGACAAUUUGAUAGAGUCUUCUCAGUAACUAGAACUAUUCUCUCCGUAAGAAUAACUUAACAAUAUGGCCUCAAGCUCAUAACAGUAUUACAAUUUUCAUGUGGGGCCUACAAGCAAUCUUAUUUAUAUAUCCAAUUCUCAAAUAUUCAGCUCGGGUAUCUAGCUCCUCUAUAGUCCAAUAAUUGAUUAUCCAUUUAGCUCUAAAAAUUUUAGAAAUAUUCCUAGAAGUCCAAUUUAAUGCCCUUUAAUUUAUCAGAGUCAAUUAAAUUAUUUUUAUUAAGUUAGAAUUAUUUUAGAAAUUAGACAGUAAUUGAAGGGGAUUAAAAUCUCACUGAUUGGUUGAUGAGCAUCGCUCCUGAUCAACGUCCAAUCAAAGUAUCGAAGCCCAUGAUGAGGUGAAUCCAUUGGUGGUCUUAAAUUGUUUGAGUGAUGACUGGAUUGAUUAGAGUCAGCUCCGAAAGUCAAUGUUUCUCUUUCCUCACCGUUGCAGAAAAUGGCCACCAAUCGGAGAACCGUCGGUCCCAUCUAAAAGCUAUGUUGCUAGAGUCCAAUGUCGGUGGUUUCGUCAGAUUUGGCCGCGUUGGAGUAUUUUUCUUUUUUAUUUAUAUUUAUGUUUAGGAGUAUUCUCAAAUUAAUUUAGAUGAUAUCAUGAAUAAGUUUUCACAUAUAUAUUAUUAUAAAAAUAAUAUCAUAAAAUCUAAAAAAAUAUAAAAUAUAAAAUUAUUUUCACAAACAUAUUCGCUGUAAAAAAAUUACUAGCAUUAAUAACUUAAACACUCGCUCAUAAGCUAAUUUAAUCUCAUUGGCCUCUUGAUGUUUGUUUUUUUCCUUCUUGGUGUUCUUCAUGUCAAGUUUUUUCACUCAGCUUUUUUCCCUUUAAGUUGGGUGUACUGGGGAGGCUUGCUAGCCAGAGCAAUCGAGGGUUCUUUGCUAAGUCUUCCUGACUUUAUUUCAUUAAUAAUAAAUUUUGAUUAUCGAAAAAUAAAUCUCAUUACCGCUAACACAAUACACAAAAACUCACCUCUCAAUUAAGUUUUCAAAUCGCGACAUUUGGGUACAACCCUUAAAGGAGAACAAGUUUCAUUCACCAAAUCCAAGUUCAAUAAGGAUUGGAUAACAUCCCACUACAAUUAUAAUUCGAUCAACACAGAAUUAUACUAGCUUUUUUUUUUCUUUUUUUUCCCUAAUUAUCUUCCUAAUUUUGUUUAAACCUGAACUCAACAUAUACCAGAUCAUUAUUAUAAUCUAAAACUACACAUAAUUUCUAAUAACGAUGAUGUUGAUAAGGGAUAUCCAUGUAACAAACCUUGUUGCAACCAUUUAAUAAUAUAGGUUAACAAACUCUUUCUCAUAGUCACUUUGUAGAUGUAUAUGACACACUGCAAAUUGCAACGAUAGUAGCUGGUAUUGUAUUGUGCCCACAUAAUCUUCCACAGAUGUUUCUUGCAGAGUAUAAUAAUCUAUUUAUAAA
rnacentral:misc_RNA from 1 species